AGUGAACGCUGGCGGUAGGCCUAACACAUGCAAGUCGAACGGCAGCACAGUAAGAGCUUGCUCUUACGGGUGGCGAGUGGCGGACGGGUGAUGAAUACAUCGGAAUCUACUUUUUCGUGGGGGCUAACGUAGGGAAACUUACGCUAAUACCGCAUACGACCUACGGGUGAAAGCAGGGGAUCUUCGGACCUUGCGCGAUUGAAUGAGCCGAUGUCGGAUUAGCUAGUUGGCGGGGUAAAGGCCCACCAAGGCGACGAUCCGUAGCUGGUCUGAGAGGAUGAUCAGCCACACUGGAACUGAGACACGGUCCAGACUCCUACGGGAGGCAGCAGUGGGGAAUAUUGGACAAUGGGCGCAAGCCUGAUCCAGCCAUACCGCGUGGGUGAAGAAGGCCUUCGGGUUGUAAAGCCCUUUUGUUGGGAAAGAAAAGCAGCAGGUUAAUACCCCGCUGUCCUGACGGUACCCAAAGAAUAAGCACCGGCUAACUUCGUG
rnacentral:rRNA from 1 species